rnacentral:rRNA from 15 species
GAAAGUGGCAGAAAGCCGAGAAGACCAAGGAAAAGCUGAAAAGGACGUUAUCGAGAGGCUCGAAUUGAAAGCGAAAGCGUUGCAAAGAGAUAUCGAUUUCAAGAUUCAAGCAGGAGUUUCCUCAGAGAUGUCUCGUGUGGGUCAUUUGUCUCCUC